GUCCACACCAUGAAAGCAAUCUAAGGUCAGUGUCUUCUCCACAGUCCCUGAAAACACUGACUCUAACCAUGGGAUGGAGCUGCGUCGUUCUCUUUCUCCUGUCAGUAACUACAGGUGUCCACACUCAGGUCAAGCUGCAGCAGUCUGGGGCUGAGCUGGUGAAGCCUGGAACUUCAGUGAAGCUGUCCUGCAAGGCUUCUGGUUACACCUUCACUGACUACUAUAUGCACUGGGUAAAGCAGAGACCUGGACAGAGCCUGGAAUGGAUAGGACGGGUUGAUCCUGCAGAUGGUGAUACUAACUACAAUGAGAAGUUCAAGGGCAAGGCCACACUGACUGCAGACAAAUCCUCCAGCACAGCCUACAUGCAACUCAGCAGCCUGACCUCUGAAGACUCUGCGGUCUAUUACUGUGCAAGACACAGUGUUGUAACCACAUCCUGAGUGUGUCAGAAACCC